rnacentral:rRNA from 1 species
GAUGAACGCUGGCGGCGUGCUUAACACAUGCAAGUCGAACGGAAAGGCCCAAGCUUGCUUGGGUACUCGAGUGGCGAACGGGUGAGUAACACGUGGGUGAUCUGCCCUGCACUUCGGGAUAAGCCUGGGAAACUGGGUCUAAUACCGGAUAGGACGAUGGUUUGGAUGCCAUUGUGGAAAGUUUUUUCGGUGUGGGAUGAGCUCGCGGCCUAUCAGCUUGUUGGUGGGGUAAUGGCCUACCAAGGCGUCGACGGGUAGCCGGCCUGAGAGGGUGUACGGCCACAUUGGGACUGAGAAACGGCCCAGACCCCUACGGGGGGCAGCAGGGGGGAAUAUUGCACAAGGGGCGCAAGCCUGAUGCAGCGACGCCGCGGGGGGGAUGACGGCCUUCGGGUUGUAAACUCCUUUCGCUGGGGACGAAGCGUUUUUGUGGCGGUACCUGGAGAAGAAGCCCCGGCUAACUACGU